rnacentral:rRNA from 1 species
AAUGAACGUUGGCGGCGUGGAUUAGGCAUGCAAGUCGAGCGAGGAAACUUGUAGCAAUAUGAGUUAUUCGAGCGGCGUAAGGGGCAGUAAUACCUGGGAACGUACCCUCUGGUUGGGGAUAGCUGCUGGAAACGGCGAGUAAUACCCGAUGAACUCGAGAGAGCAAAGGCUUGCCGCCGGAGGAGCGGCCCAGGCGAUAUUAGCUAGUUGGUGAGGUAAUGGCUUACCAAGGCUUAGAUGUCUAGCGGGUGUGAGAGCACGACCCGCGCCACUGGCACUGAGACACUGGCCAGACACCUACGGGUGGCUGCAGUCGAGAAUCUUCGGCAAUGAGCGCAAGCUUGA